rnacentral:rRNA from 1 species
UACAGAGGUCCCAAGCGUUGUUCGGAUUCACUGGGCGUAAAGGGUGCGUAGGUGGUGAGGUAAGUCGGAUGUGAAAUCUCCGAGCUCAACUCGGAAAUGGCAUUGGAAACUACCUUGCUCGAGGGUUGGAGGGGGGACUGGAAUGCUUGGUGUAGCAGUGAAAUGCGUAGAUAUGACAUAGAACACCGAUAGCGAAGGCAGCUUGCUACACAAUUAUUGACACUGAGGCUCGAAAGCGUGGGGAUCAAACAGG